GAGUUUGAUCGUGGCUCAGGAUGAACGCUAGCUACAGGCUUAACACAUGCAAGUCGAGGGGCAGCAUGGUCUUAGCUUGCUAAGGCUGAUGGCGACCGGCGCACGGGUGAGUAACACGUAUCCAACCUGCCGUCUACUCUUGGCCAGCCUUCUGAAAGGAAGAUUAAUCCAGGAUGGGAUCAUGAGUUCACAUGUCCGCAUGAUUAAAGGUAUUUUCCGGUAGACGAUGGGGAUGCGUUCCAUUAGAUAGUAGGCGGGUAACGGCCCACCUAGUCAACGAUGGAUAGGGGUUCUGAGAGGAAGGUCCCCCACAUUGGAACUGAGACACGGUCCAAACUCCUACGGGAGGCAGCAGUGAGGAAUAUUGGUCAAUGGGCGAUGGCCUGAACCAGCCAAGUAGCGUGAAGGAUGACUGCCCUAUGGGUU
rnacentral:rRNA from 1 species